CAUGCUAGGAGUGGGGGCGAGGUGUGAUGACAUUCAGAGCCCUGGGGUGUCGAGUAUGAAGGGUUAAUGGAAUAUCUUGUAAGGAUCUAAAGUCUGUGAGGGACAACCGUAGUCUCUUUGGUGGUGUCGUUGGUGGUUGCGAUAGCGUCGGGUAUUGCCUUCCGUUUUAGGAAGAAUAUACGAGAUGUUAUUAAUAAAACUUGUUACUUGACAUAUGACCCAGUC